AUUUUUUUGAAAAGCAGAGCUAUUUCAAGAGUUGAGGAUUUCUCUUAGCAUUAAGAGGCUCUGCACCACCUCUGCUGAGAACAGAAAACUGAAAGAAAAGCUGCCAAAGUUACCUCAAUCAGUCUGUGAAGAAGUGGGCACAAGACACAGCUUCUAGAAGAGUUGUUCCAUCACACCUAUCAAAAAACGCAGAGAAAAAGGGUGCAAGAGUGACUUCAGGUCUGGGACCUUGAAAAAUUGUGGGACCUUGGGCCAUGGCAGACAGUCCUGAGAACUCCAUUAUUUGAAAUACCACAAAACAAUUAACUGAUUGUCCUUAAAAUGAG